AGGCGGCGGCGGGGCUGAUUCUCACCAGCCACAGGCGGCGGCGGGAGGGCGGGCGGGCGCGAGGCGGAGCGGAGGACACGCCAGGCGCAGCGCGGCGGCAACAACAGCGGCGGCGGCGGCAACAGCGGAGAGACACCGGCGGCUGCUCCUUGGAAGCGGCAGCAGCGCCCGCCCGCCCCACUCGUCGCUUCCCUCCCCCGCCGCGGAGACAGGGGGCAGCGCGGAGAGGAGAAGCCGGGCUCGGCGUGUGUGUGCGCGGGAGGAAGAGGAGGGGGGACACACCGAGGACUGCGCCGGCCGAGGGCGCACGGAGCAGGGAAGCGGCGGCGGCGGGUCCUUGUGCCCAGCGAGGAGGGCGCAGCCCGCACGGGGGUUUCUAUCGAGUUUCCUCUUUUUUUUCGUUCCCUCGGACUCGGCGUCGGGGCUGCGUUUGUCUCCGGAUUUGAAUCCUCCUCCUCCUCCUCCUUCCUCGGGGAAGCUCCCCUCCCCGCCCCCUCCCCUCCCCCACCGCCUCCCCGCCCGCCCGGAUCCAGCCGGGCGCCCCGUGCCGCGGUCGCGUUGCUCGGCGGAGCUGCUGCGGGCGCUCGCCGUCUCUGCGCGGGCUUGGAAUAUGGUUGGGGAAAUGGAAACCAAGGAGAAGCCGAAGCCGAGCCCCGAUUACCUGAUGCAGCUGAUGAACGACAAGAAGCUGAUGAGCAGCCUCCCCAACUUCUGCGGGAUCUUCAACCACCUCGAGAGGCUGCUGGACGAAGAAAUUAGCAGAGUACGGAAAGACAUGUAUAACGACACAUUAAAUGGUAGUACGGAGAAGAGAAGUGCAGAAUUACCAGAUGCUGUGGGACCUAUUGUACAGUUACAAGAGAAACUAUAUGUGCCUGUAAAAGAAUAUCCAGAUUUUAACUUUGUUGGAAGAAUCCUUGGGCCCAGAGGACUAACAGCUAAACAGCUUGAGGCAGAAACAGGAUGCAAGAUAAUGGUCCGAGGGAAGGGCUCCAUGAGGGACAAAAAGAAGGUCUCCUUUAAGAGCAGAGACAACCAUGACCCAGCAGUUUUGGAGGUAGAGGCAAAACAGAACCGGGGCAAGCCCAACUGGGAACACCUGAAUGAAGAUUUACAUGUACUUAUCACUGUGGAGGAUGCUCAGAACAGAGCAGAAAUAAAACUGAAGAGGGCUGUUGAAGAAGUAAAAAAGUUACUGAUACCCGCAGCAGAAGGAGAAGACAGCCUUAAAAAGAUGCAGCUGAUGGAGCUUGCAAUUCUGAAUGGCACCUACAGAGAUGCCAACAUCAAAUCACCAGCCCUUGCCUUUUCUCUUGCAGCAACAGCCCAGGCUCCAAGGAUUAUUACCGGGCCUGCGCCUGUUCUCCCACCAGCUGCCCUGCGUACUCCUACGCCAGCUGGCCCUACCAUAAUGCCUUUGAUCAGACAAAUACAAACCGCUGUCAUGCCAAAUGGAACUCCUCAUCCCACCGCUGCAAUAGUUCCACCCGGACCCGAAGCUGGUUUAAUUUACACACCAUAUGAAUACCCCUACACGCUGGCACCAGCUACAUCAAUCCUUGAGUAUCCUAUUGAGCCUAGUGGUGUAUUAGGUAUGGCUUUCCCAACGAAAGGCUAAGAAUUCAAGAACGGUCUUAACUGAUCCUUCAUCAGAUCUGAAUUUUAACAAAUGCUUAGUUUUCAGCAGCCUUGAAAAAAGCUUGGCCUAGCAGUCAGUGACUUACUUGCACUUUUUUGCACAUAGAUUUAAAAUAAAAUAGUGCUAUUAAUUUGGAUUAGCUCCUAUUAUUACAGAGUAGCUGUAAUUUAUGAGUGUAUAGUAGUAUACUGACUGCUAAGUGUUCUAUAUAGUGUUUGCUUUACUAAUCACCUAAUUCAUUGCAGUUCAUACUUAUUGACUUAAAGUUUAAAAUCACAAUCUGUAGGCUUGAAGAAUUGCUUUAAAACUUUUUUGUGGUAGAACUGGAAGUGAUCUUAAGGUUAGCAAAUAAUUGUCAGUAUUAAAAGAUGGCAUUAUUUAAAAUAGUCCUGCUGCAAGAAAGGCACUUCAGUGAAUAUGUGACUAGUAAAGCUUAAAUGUGCUUGGGUCUAAUAGAUUUCAUGAAAUACUGUAAUUUUGGGAUUGUAAAUGAAUGGAUUAAACAGGUUAAGGCCAGGAUGUUUAAAAUAAAUGCAAUAUUAAUCUGCACAGAUAAACUUCCUUUUAAGAUUAAGAUUUGAAACUACUGUGCCUUAACUUGUUGCUUUUCUUAAAAUGAACUUUUGUAGUUAAUGAUCAUUUAAAUCCAUUUUGAUAAACCUGCUGUUAAUGUUUUCUUUGAAUGUUUUCUAACUUUGUCUUGGUAAUUGCAAUUUAACUAGGUGCGGUGGCUACUAAAGUUCGAAGGCACGAUAUGCGUGUCCAUCCUUACCAAAGGAUUGUGACCGCAGACCGAGCCGCCACCGGCAACUAACCUAUGACCUUCUGACCUCUGAACUCUUCACCCAAUGAUGACCUGACCAUGCCUGCCUGCUGAUCAGUUAACUGGUAAACGCCUUUGCUUGCCUGUCUUCAGUGCAGCGAGCUGGGGCACUUGUCCGUUCGUCUUACCAUCUAACAAAGCAGACAAAGAAAUUGUUGUCCUCCAACUUCGCUUUUUGUUGUUCUCCUGUUUGGGUGAAAGUGGUUCUAGAACCUGCACUGAAUAGUAGUAAAGCAAUAAGGUCCAACUCAUCCCUCCGCACUGAUCAUCCUCUAGUGUCCUGCCCCAGGCGAACGGUAAGGAGGCCUCACACGAGAUGGAGACAGAUGUCCCUUAACUACCCGAUGACAGAGGCAGUUACUGUGAGAGACUUCUAGGAAUAUUUUUCUUCUCAGAAAAAAAAAUAAUAAAAAAAAAGAAAAACUAAAAUAAGGAAGUCAAAGCUCUCUCUGAAUGUACUGUGUGAUGAUGCAUCAUGCAUGAACCUUUGGUCAGGGAUGUCAUUGGGGAAGGGAUUCCAAAAAGUAUUCAAAAUUUGAUACGCUGUUUAGUCACUACCGGUGCCCUCAAAGGGCAGAUGUUGCAGCCUUUUUUUCUAUUGCCUGCCAAAUUGGACAUUUUAAAGGAAAGUGUGCCAUGAAAUGCAGAUGACGAUGAUUUUUUAGAGCUACGUUAAUGCAGAGAACAAAACAGCAACACUAUUAAAACAAAAUCUGCGUUAAAUUACUUUAACCAUAUUUUAAUCUCCUCGGAAGAUUACAUGAGAACAAGGUACAUGCAUUAUGUGUCACAUUACUGGGCAAACUGUUCAAAUAUUUUUUUUAAAACCUCCCUGUAUAGAAAAAAUUUCAUUAAGGAUGUAAAAGCCAUGCUUGCCUAUUUGCUGUAUACAUGUAAUGAAAUUGUAGAUAAAGUGUAGUGCAUUGAAACAAAAUGAACAAAAAAGUAGAUACUUUUACUAUACAAGGGUGCUGGUGCAGAAAAAAAAAGAUAUAUUUUUUGAAAUGUAGCAUUUUAUACUUUCAAGUGUUAUAAAAAAAGAAAAAAAGAACAAAGAAACCCUUUAUUUCAUUAAAUGAUUUUUUCUGGUGGUUGUCAAGAAACAAAAGACCAAAAGAGCCUUUUAGUCUUUCUUUUUUAUUUUUUAAGUAUUGGAAUAAGUCUAAAGAAAAGAAAGUGCCUUAUUUUCUUCAUGGUCAUUUAGUCAAAUGUCUUGUAUAAUCAGCUUCUCCCUCAGACAAGUUACUGCAUGCCACUCAGUCGCCCAGUAUGUGAAAGAAGCUGUGAGGGAAGACAAAUGAUGAGUUGACCAUAUUAAUUACCUGAUUUUUGCCAUAACUAGUGUGACGUGACUUUGCCAAAAUCUCAUUUCAUAAAAUAUUUGUUAAAGGUUUUACCAAACCAGCCCAUUGGUAUUUCAACCACUCUACUUUUUAAAUCAUAGUAAAUGCCAUACUUGUGCAAUGUAAACCAAAGGGUUCUGUGAUGCGCUGUCUCAUGCUAAAUGAGGCUAUUAGCUGACAAAAGUUUUUAGAGCUGGAAGUAUGUCGUUUUUGUUCAAGGAUGGAGAUGAGUAUUUUUGCUUUCAGUUGGAAUAAAUACACAUCAAAUAUAGUAGGCUGUGGCAUCACCCAGAAAACUGAUGUUCUGUGGGUAAUGAAAUCGAAAGUGCUUAGCUGGUUUUCAGUGAUAGUCUGAGUAUGUCCCUGGUUUUCACAAGCAGCUCCUGCAGUGACAAACAGCAUGCAAGUUAUUUAUUUCAGUUCUUCCUUAAUUAUUGUUAGAUUUGCCCACUGGGUUUUCCUCAUAAGAUAAGCAGGAGAAAGACAUCAGUUAGUUGUUUGAAGUCCAGCUGUACUUUAUUUUUAACCCUUAUUUCCACAAGAUUCAUACAGCUGAGCAAUUGCAAGAGCUGAAGCUGUUGAACUCACAGUAUUUAAUUCUGACAACAUUAAGUAUUACUUUGUGUGGGGCUCAGUACUAAGCUUGGCAAAUAUCAGGUGAUAACUUUAUUCCCCUCUUGUCAACUUAUUCUCCUCCUGCAAAUCUUCACAGCUUCCAAAUGAAAGGUCAAUAGUAAGCUAAGAGGGCUUACAUUUUUAAGCACCUGCAUGGUGACCUCAUCUUACAUCUUGUCUCACCUGGAAAUAAUUAUCAGUUUAUUUACUAUGCAAUAGACAUUCAUCCUUGGUAUUCAGCUAGCUUUUUGUUUAUUGUGCCACUGGCUUUGUCUUCCUGUUACACAUACAGUUGUGUUGAUCUUAUUUACAGUAUAUGCUGUGCCAUUUUGAUUUUAUUUUGGUUGGUUGGUUGAAUAAACUUGCGACACUCAAACAUUUGAAGAGAGAUUUGCUAAAACAAUACCAGUAUUUGAUCCAGUUUCAUCUCAGCUAUGAUAAAACCUGGACAUUUUAGAUGUUUAUCAAAGGUCUUUUACUGGGGCAGAGGGGAAGUGUAUGAAAUAGAUGUGUGACAUGUGAAAGUAAUGUUUGCUCUAAACAAACUUCUGAAAAUUUAGUUGACAAAAUUUUGGAUGAACUUAAAAAAAGCAUGACUUUGAAAUCUCUGAAUGCCUUGGUUCUCAGUAUUAUCAUUCUUUAAUUACUUUUUCUUUAUUAAAAUAAGUAGUUUUAAGACUUCUUUCUGACAGUAUUAUGUAAUUUUUUUAGAGUGGGUAGAUGGGAGUGUCGCUUGUAUGUAACCGUACAGAUGACAUGUAUUUGUCUAUUCUUUAUUAUCUUAGUAGUUUCAUGCAAUGUAUGUACCAUAACCAACCUAUUGCCUAUGAGAAACAUGUAAGAUAAUGUAUUUACAGCCAUUGUUACAAGUUUAUAAUGUAUUUUUCUAUCUUGUUUUAUAUGUAUGUUAUAUAACAUUCAAAAGAAUUUUUUUCCUGAUUGAGAAAAAAGGAUACAAAAUGCAAAACCCACAAUUUUGAUAACUGAAAAAUUGCCAAUUGUUUUGCAGUACUUUAUUAUAUUGGGAGUGUUGUCUUUCUUGGGCUUUUAGUUAGCUACUGGAUGAAUACAUUAGACAUAUUUGGGUUUUAGUUGGGUUUUUACAUAGCUUGCAUUUAAAUUCUUUGGUUCUUUGCUGUUUCUAUUAACCCAUAGCAUUAUUUUAAUAAAUGUUAUAAUACCAACCUACUAACUCUGGACUAUGUCUGUUUAUUAACCAUUACAUGUUUAAUUAAAGUAAACAAAUAAAGACGGAAGAAUGUAAAGUCUUGAGUUACUGGACUAACCCUGAAGAACGUGACCACAGAUAACACAACGUGACUUGUUUUUAUGUUGUUUGUCGGCUUGACAUUCUGCACACUACUCUUAAGUUGGCUUUGGUCAUUCUGGCCUUUUACCUUGGGGAAUAGGUGCCAGUAGAAAAGGGAACAAAGUAGCAUUUUUGAGGCAUUCUUCUUGUAGAGUCUUGCCACUUGCCUUUCAGCAUCUGCAUUACUAAUUCCACACUUUCUUUUUCUCUCUCUAAAAUAAUUACUGUCGGCUCACAGCAAAAGAGCAAAGAUGCCUGUAUAUUGGUAAAUCGUGAUGGUGUACAGAAACCAGUUUGAUUCUUUGUUGAACCAUUCAGAGGUUGCAGUUACUCUCAUAGUAAUUUGUGAUUUGUUGGGUUUGGCACCUGGUUCACUGUUGCAUCAUGCGACAUUUCUAAGCACAAAAUACUUCUAGAUAGAAUUACUGUACAUUGAAAUCUGGAGGUUUUCCUUGCCACAGGUGCCUUAUUUUCUUCCUGCCACACGGUUUUGAACUUUUGUUUGUACUUCUGCUAUAGUCUGUCAGUAUUGCGUAGCUCAGGGGAGUACAAUUUCUGUAAGCCAAAGGUCAAACCAGAUCAUUUCCUAAUGACUGCAGAAAGUACAAAAAUACACCUUUCACUAUAUUACCAAGCAACAGCCAUUUCAGAUUCUAGGGCUGUCUAUGUCAUCUUUAUCCCUGUGGAUGACUGUAGCAACAUGAAUGCAGGGAAUUGAAAUGGAGAAAAUGCUGUUUUGAAUGUAUAUCUAUGCAAAUAUUUUUACAGAAACAUUUCUCUCUGAAAGCUUCUGCUGCCUGAGGCUCCUUUACAUAUCCCCAGGUUUUUCUCCCAGAUUUGUAAUCUUAACUGGACAGUGAUUGCAGCUAAUGUCAAGGGAGAUCCUCAGUGUAGGUAACUCUUCAAAUAUCAACAGUUUUUGUGAAAGCUUAAGUCUCUUGUUGAUCGUAAAAAAUCAGAUGAGUCUUUUCAUCUGUUCAAAUGCCUUCUUUAAUUUAUGUUUGAAAUUACAUAUCUUGAAAUCCAUGUGAUAUAAAACUUUUAUUUUAAAAAGUUCUCACAGUAGGAAUUCAAAUAGAAUGCAUGUUUAUAGAGAAAAACAGUCUAGCUUUGAUGAAGCUGUUAGUUUUCUAAUGGCAUGUAGUUUUACUUGUACAGGAAUCUUUCUUAAUUUAACAGAUCAUGAAUACCUUGCUAUCCUAAAAGUCAGCCACAGGGAGAGGAUAAAUUUAGACAUUUAGUACAGAUAACAUCAGGACCUUUUGGUUGUAUAAUGGCACAAGUGUCCUUUCAGAGUCAAAAGUAUAUGUUCCUUAAGAAUUUUGUCAGAGGCACACAUCUAAACUUGGUAAAGUGCUCUCCUCGAGUUCAGGUGAAAAUAUUCAGAUGGGACAAAAGAUUAGUAUUUUAUGUUGAAGAAUACUUCUGUUCCCAAAACUACUGCGUUUCUGUAAUAUUUUUAUUGUUUUGUAUUUUUAUUAGAUAUGAAAUACUGUCAUACUUUGUCCACAGUGCAUUUUCAUCUCAUUCUUCAUUAUAUGCAGUAGUGAAGGUUGAUGUAAGUUUUGAAGUACUGAUAAGCUGAAUGACAGCAAAAAAGGAAAACUCUAAAGUCAAAAUUUUAUAUUAGCUAUUGUUGUCCGCCAGAUGUAUUUCUCAGUUUACGUGACUGUCUGAAAAUUUAACUGUUUUAUACUUUGUCUGCUUAUAGUAAAGAAAUGAGUUAUUUUUAGAGCUGAAUUGAUGACUUCAGUAUUGGUACAUCACUGAAGCCAGGUUGUCCUAUGUUAUUAUUCUGGGGUUAAGUUGUCCUAACAUUUGAAAGAUUAUACAUUCAAGUCAAUUGGAGAAUUGCUGUUUGAUCCAAUCAAGUGGUAUUUAUCUUAAGGUAAAUCUGUUAUUUUUUUCAGUAGGUCAGAAUAUAAACAAAAACAUCCCAGAGCCUUUCAAAGUACAAUUUGAGCAGUGCUAUUCACAUCUUUAAAGUGAACUGUUGUAGCAAAGUACAACAAAUUUGGUUUCUCCAAGAGUUUGUUGGGUGGGUUUUUGUGCUAUCAAUCCAGAAUAUAAAGAGUCUUCAGGGGCAUCUUUGGAAUGUUUUAAAUGUAUACUGACAACAUUGAUACUUUAUUUGAACAUACCUUUAAAAAGUAAUCCCAAAUCCAUAUGUAACGAAUGGCUUACUCCUAGAUUGUACUCUGAGGGGGACCACUAAAAAGCUUUCUGCCCUGAAAAUGCAGGGAAACAUGGAAGUGUGUUGUCAUCCAUUAAGAAAUCGCUUUAAUCUGGGGGAAACAAAAGUACACGAAACCUGAUUUUUUGUGUCUUGGUAAAAAUAGCAGCCGUCAUAAACGGCACAUUGUACAGAAUGGAAUCUGAGUAACGCAUUCCUAGGUCUGGAAGUACGUAAUUGUUUUUGAAAUCUCCAUUAUGUUUUUAAUAGAUUUGAUACAUUUUUUUUAAACACUAUUAAUGGAAUAGUGUCCAAAUAACACAUGAACCGUAGCAUUAACACAUGGUAAUCAAUGUUGAAUCAAACUGGUUAACAAAAGUACAGUGCUCUUCCUUCUAUGUGCCUGCACACUAAUUGCAGGUGGUAUGGUUCUGUGUAGGAGAUGGGUGUUGGGCACAGCAGGUCGCGGUGCUAACUUCUUGGUGCCAGCAGUUCAGAUAUCCGUCUUUGACAGCAGACUAACUGGGAGGAAUCUGAUUCCCAAGGCAAAGAUUAACUGAGAUGUUAGAAGAAUUAACCGAGAAAACAGCAACAUCAAACAACGUAUAUACAUAUAUGCUUUGACUUGUAUUAUGGCAGUUUGUGUGAAACACUUAAGGUUUUGUUUGUGCAAAAUAAUGUAUUCUGAAGGGGGAAGACAAACAUGGAUAUUGCCAAAACAUGUAAAUAAAACACCAUUUAUGACUGUACAUUAUGUGCAAUAAAGUAACUGGAAAAAGUGCAUGUACUUUAUCCUCAAAAGCAAACUGACAGCUCUCAAAGCUGUAGCUAUAGUUCUAUUUUCUGAAAAGUUAAAUUUUAUUCUGUAUCCAAACAGCAGAAUAAAGAAUGUACAUUUUUCACACUUCAA